AGUAGCGGCGAGCGAAGCGGGAAAAGCCCGGUGUGUAAAUCUCUUCGGAGAGUUGUAUUUGAGUGUCCUUGGGUGGUCAGUGCGAGCAAGUUGCUUGGGAUAGCACGCCAUGGAGGGUGAGAGCCCCGUCCAUCUCGCACAGGAUCCAUCCGCACAAGGGCGCUUCAACCGAGUCGGGUAGCUUGGGAAUGCUGCUCUAAUUGGUGGUAAAUCUCAUCAAAGGCUAAAUAACGGUGGGAGACCGAUAGCGAACAAGUACCGUGAGGGAAAGAUGGAAAGAACUUUGAAAAGAGAGUGAAAAGAACUUGAAACCGUCACGGGGGAAGCGGAUUGCGUGAGUGGUGGUGUCACUUGUUCAGCGCUCUUUUGCGUGUAUUCUGGUGGCACCUUGUCGUCGUGGCUGGCUGGUUGCGUGAUUUUGACGCACCGGCUGGUGAGGGCUCCCUAUGGUGAGGACGACGACAAAAUGACGCAAUACGACCCGUCUUGAAACACGGACCAAGGAGUCUAGCACGGCUGCGAGUCGAAGGGUGUAAAACCCAAGGGCGCAGUGAAAGCGAAAUUAUAAGCAAAUUGGGGAGGCGUUGCGUUUUUAACAAAAUGUCCUACCUUGAGCAUUUGUGCUGGGACCCGAAAGAUGGUGAACUAUGCCGGAGUAGGGCAAAGCCAGAGGAAACUCUGGUGGAGGCUCGUAGCGAUGCUGACGUGCAAAUCGCUCGUCGAACUUGGGUAUAGGGGCGAAAGACUAAUCGAACUAUCUAGUAGCUGGUUCCCUCCGAAGUUUCUCUCAGGAUAGCGGGCCGACAUUUUGUUGUUUUGUGCGGUAAAGCGAAUGAUUAGUGCAUUUGGGGUCUGAUAGACUUCGGGCGAUUCUCAAACUUUAAAUGCGCAAGGGGGUGGCUGCUUAAUUGAGCCUACUCUUCGAAAAACGUCGGCCCUGUGGGCCACUUUUGGUAAGCAGAACUGGCGAUAAGGGAUGAACCUUAAGCGCGGUUAAGGCGCCGCAUUGCCCGCUUAUAGACCCCACAAAAGGUGUUGAUUCAUUUAGACAGCAGGACGGUGGCCAUGGAAGUCGGAAUCCGCUAAGGAGUGUGUAACAACUCACCUGCCGAAUGAAUUAGCCCUGAAAAUGGAUGGCGCUGAAGCGGGCAGCCGACACCGCGCCGUUCCGGCGAGACGAUGCCGGGAUGAGUAGGAGGGCGUGGCGGUCAGUGACGCAGGCGAGGGUGCAGACCCCGCUGAAACGGCCGCUAGUGCAGAUCUUGGUGGUAGUAGCAAAUAUUCAAGCGAGAUCCUUGAAGGGCGAAGCGGGGAAGGGUUCCACGCAAACAUUGAUUGGGCGUGGGUGAGUCGUUCCUAAGCCGAGUGGCAAUUGCUAAGUAGCGGCGAAAGGGAAGCGGGUUAAAAUUCCCGCACACAGAUAUGGAGGCGGCGACGCAAGCAGAGGCAAAUACGCUGGCGAGGGCGCUGGGCAGAGUUGUCUUUUCUGUUUGACCGGCAUCGUGCUGUGUGGAAUCCGCUUAUCGGGAGAAACACGCACGG
rnacentral:rRNA from 1 species